rnacentral:lncRNA from 1 species
UUUAUUAUUAUUGCAACAAACACACGGAUUACACUAAAAGCUAGUGAAUCAUACACUUGCAGAUGACUUAUCCAAACACAAAGAUAAGACAUGAUUUUAUUAUUAUUGCUAUAAACACACGGAUUACAGCGAAAUUCAAAAACUAAAAACAAGGAAAAAAGUAGUGAUGAAAACCAAUGCCACUUCCGGGAACACGAUUGCAUUCGCACAUGCAACAAGCCUUUUAAACCCAUAGGUGACCCAAAUGGGACGAGUGAAGUCUCGUGAGGGUUUCCAGAGACGUUACCCACAAACAUCAUGCAUACGGAUCAUCAACAUCUGACUUGGGAGACUGAGUAGAUAUCCACCCCUCCAGCAUCAGGUUGUUUUGGUUGAGGCGUAAUUCGAAUCUGUUUUCAAUGAACGGCCUGGUUAUGAGAUCGCUUUGCAAGUGACGUAAUCGGCAGCGCGUGAUUAGGUUGUUGCUGUCAGGUGGUCCGACAGGCUCGACCUUGAACAAUGUGCAAGCCCAAUUGUCUUUGGUUUCAUUUCGGUCAGCAGCUGCGGCCAGGACCAAUAGCCUGUUUUGGUCCACCCUUCUCAAGUAGUUGCCAUUGUAGGAGCAUUUGAUAUGCACGUAAUUCUUGUCGGCGUAGUCCUCAUUGUUUGGCUUCUCGGUGGUGAACUUUAUGAACCUGCUGUUUUCAUUGUCCUCGGAAAACUGGACAAUCUCAUUAAGGUCGCUUUCUGCAUCAAGUUGAUAGCGCAAAUACUUGUUGUUGAUAUCUGCUUUCAGCAGAAAAGGGCUUGGUAGUACAGGUGGUGGAGCCAUAUCGUAUAGUGUAGUUGGGAUUGGGAUGCUCUCUCUUUUUUAUUCUCUGUUGAUGAUCUAAUUUGCUUGCUGUGAAUGUGAUGCUUAGUUUAAACCUGCUAUCCUAUUUAUAAGAAAUUAAGCACAAGCUAGCUCAAGUUAUGGUCUUUAAUUAAUAUUAAUUUCGACAAAUCAGUUUCCCAUCUCUUUCAUUGAUAUGAACAUGGCUGAUCUCAUUGAUGUGGCGCAAUAUUUGUUAAAUUAGCCGUUCGGGUUGAUUUCUUUGUACAACUCAUCUGCCAAUUCUACAACUUGUAGACCUAAUUCCCAGUACAAAAUUAAAAAAAAAUUAAAAUCCAAAACUAAUAUAAGAUAAAUAAAGACUUUUUAUAUCAUAAAAUAAGACUUUCUAACUUGUAUACAAGACAAUAGUGACAAGAUCAAACACAUUGAUGGGUGCGCAUUUUCCAUCAACAUCUGUUCUGUGUGUUUAAACUGACCGUGGAGUCUUUUUAGCAAUUAAAAGUUUUGUAUCAUGUAAUUGUCUUGGUUUGAUAAGACCUACAUCUAGAUGAGAUGCUUCUGAAGACUAAUGUAAAACUUUAUGUUGAUAUUUCUUGAGGGUGAAACAUCGUUUGAGAAACGUGUUGGGCCUCAUUACAAUUUUUUCAUUUAGUUUUUAACUUUUGGUUUAAAUAUUCUACUAUGAAUAAAUUUGUGGCUUUAAUAACUAGUAAAACCACUUUCAAAUAUCUUAGUAUCGGCUUUCAGAACAAAGGGGUUUGGUAGUACAGGUGGAGCCAUAUUGUAUAGUGUAGCUGGGAUUGGGAUGAUCUCUCUCUCUUUUUUGUUUUUUUUUUCCCUUUAAUUUGCUUGCUUUGAAUGUGAUGCUCAGUUCAAACCUACUAUCCUAUUUCUAAGAAAUUAAGCACAAGCUAUCUCAAGUUAUGGACUUUAAUUAAUAUUAAUUUCCUCAAUCAGUUUCCCAUAUCUUUCAUUGAUACGAACAUGGCUGAUCUCAUUGGUGUGACGCAAGAUUUGUUAAAAUAGCGAUCGGAUUGAUUUUUCUUUGUAUAACUCUUCUGCCAAUUCUGAACUUGUACAUAUAAUUCCCAUUAUAAAAUAAAUAAAUAAAAUUCAAAACUCAUAUAAAAUAAAUAGAGACUUUUUAUAGCAUAUAAAAUAAGACUUUGUAACUUGUACAUAGUUAUUGAUAACAUUCAUCUAAGAACUAACAGAUGAAUGUAUGCAAGCAAUAUUGAAGAAAUACAGAGAGAAAGAUCGAAAGGAAUAGAGAGAGAAAUAGAGAAAGAAAUGAGUGAAAGCUUUGUUAUUUCAUAAGAACAAAAGAUCAUCACAAAAGAACCCUGAUUCCUUCUUAUAUAGUCUGCCCAUGUAGCUUAUCAGCUAAGCCACCUGUGUAACUAAUUCUUAACAAACUAACUAACUCCAAUAGCUGAUAUGGCACUUAUGAUGAUGUGUCAAUCACUAUAUAUCUUCAACAUCCCCCCGCAAUCUCAACUGGGAUUUUCUAGCUUGAGAUUGUAAAAAUGUUAGACAAAUGAAGGACUGUGAAGACCUUUGGUAAGAACAUCGGCAGUUUGCUCCUCAGUUGGGAUAUACAACACCUCCAAAUCGCCUUCAUGCACCCGUUCUCGUACAAAAUGGUAGUAUGUAUUAAGGUGUUUAAUUCUUGAAUGAAACACCAUAUUAGCACUGAUCGGAUCAUAUUUAUAUAUAUUUUUACUUCGAAUUCACUCGUCUUUUCUUAGUUAGUUCCUUAUAUUUUUGAGCUAUUUACGUUAUUUUUGUGUUUAUAGGAUUUGUUAUGCAAAGAAAAUAAAAAUAGAACAAAUGAAAUUUUAUGUAAUAAAUUCGUCAAAACUGUCUGUGUAGAUCAUCUUUUAAAUAAAAUUAAUAAAAAUAAUAAUAAUGGUAAGUCAUGAUGAUGUUUGAAACAUCAUCAUGAUUCAUGUUUUGUAGAAGAAGAAAGGAACGGCAAAGAAGGAGAAAAUAAAGAAUAAAAGGAGGGAGAGCGUCGGUGGAAAAGAAAAAGGAAUAAAAAGCUGCCUUUACCAACAGAGAGAGUGGGGAGGGCAGAAAGAAAAACACGGCAUAAAGAAUAAGAAUAAGAGGAAGUGAACAGCAGUGCGAAGAAGAAAGGAAGAAUAAGAAAAUAAAGAUAAGAGGCAGAGCGGAAGAGAGAGGAGGGGGGAGAUAAGUCAGAGGGACGCGGAACGAAGAGAGGAAAGCAGCAAAGCUGCCAGCGGAAAGAAAAGGUUGCCCUUGCAGCCUUGAAAAAAAAAGCAAAAAAUAAAGGAGAGGUCAGGAGGGGAGAGAGGUUAGAGUGCGAAAACAGAGAGAGAGAAGGCGGGAGCAGCGCAGCAGAGCACAGCAGCAGGUGCAGGGAAGUCAGGAGCUAGGCAGAUCUUCUUUUCUUGGUUUUAUCUUCUCAAACCCAUGUUUUACUUUUGGUUUAAUUUGAUAAUAAUGUGUAACUAAAUUUAUUUUGGCUAGAGGUUAAUUCAAAGCCAUGAAUAUAUUUGUAAUAUGAAUUGAUUACCUUCAGUUGUGAUUUCUGAGUUGUGAUUUAAUUUGCUUAACUGCUUGAUUGAUAACUUAUUUUUGUAUGUCGAUUAAGAAUGCAUACUUAAUUUACAUGCAUGAAUUUGAUGCUAGAAUAUAAGUGAAUUUCACCUAAUCGUUAUGAACUUAUAUUCACAAGUAGUGAAGGUUGUUAUCCACAAUCGUGUUAAGUGAAUUCUAGGCUGGAUUAACAUGCGUAUUCCAUAGUUAUGAAUGCCUAGUCAAUGUUUAUGAUUUCCGUUGAACUUAAUGAUCUUUGUUGAAUGUCUCUAUCAUGCGUAUUCCAUAGUUAGGGACUUUGAUGAGGAAUAAUUUGGUUGUAAUGCGUAUUCCAUUCAAUCCAAUGAAUCUAGGGAAAUCUAAGAGUUAAUUUAAGCGGACCUAAUUAACUUGGAACAUUGUCAUUCACAAUUUAUUGAAAGAACAACUGAAAAUCAAUUUAGGUUGCAUAUGUGUCAUGUGUGGAGAAGAACCCUCUAGCUAGUCCGUCACCUAUCCUUUCACCUUAAUUUCAUGCUUUUGUCAACUCUGUAAUUUAUUUAAGUUUAAUUUACUUCUCGUCAAAACCAAACCCCCCCAUUAUUAAAUUAUAUUAUUUAGUUAAUUUUCAUUGUUGUUAGUCAUUUAAUUCAAUUUCCGUCCAUUUCAGUUUCUAGUGUCUAAUUUGAUUGUUUUCAUUAUUUUGAGUCAUUCUAAGUGUGUUUCGAGUUAUUAGAGUUUUUAGCCUAGUUUUGUGUCCUUGAGUCUUGUUUAAUAUUUUUAAAUUAAUUUAGAAUAGAUUAGCAAUCCCUCCUAAUCCCCGGCCUAGAACGAUACCCUACUUACAUCUAUAAUACAAUUGUCAAAAAGAGGGUUUAAUUGGUGUGUCAAGUAAUUUUCACAUCAAGCACUUAAGGCAAUAGCAGACAUAUUGUCACAGUGAAUCGUUGGUGGAGCAUCCAAAAAUACACUCAAAUCCUUCAAUAUAUUUCGAAUCCAAGCUAUAUCUACGGCAGUAUGUGCUAAGGCUUUAUAUUCAGCCUCAGUAGAACUCCUGGAUAUCGAGUUUUGUUUCUUCGAUUGCCAAGAAAUUGGAUUACUACCCAAGUACACGACAUAACCAGUGAUAGACCGACGAGUAUUCAAGUCUGUAGCCCAAUAAGAAUCAGAAAAUGCAGUAAGCUUUGAAACUGUGUUUGCAGAAAAAGCAAUACCAAUGUUCAUGGUUUCUUGAAGAUAACGAAUGAUUCAUUUAACAACGCCAAAAUGAACAUCAGUUGGUGAGGACAUCAACUGACAUACUGUGUUUACAGCAAAGGCAAUAUCAGGCCUAGUAAAGGUCAUAUAUUGUAAAGAUCCCACAAUACUUAUGUAAGGUUGGAUCUGUCAAUAAUUGUCCCUCAGAGUGUAACAUUUGAUGAUGAGGUUUACAAGGAGUGGUUGCUGGUUUACAUGAUUCCAUACCUGCUUUAUGGACGAGAUCUUUGAUAUACUUAGACUGAUUAACAAAAACACUGCCAUUUGCUUUAUAUUGAACUUGUAAACCCAAAAAAUAUGUAAGUUGUCCCAUAUCCUUUAACUCGAAUACCUCAGAUAAUUAUUGAAUCACUUUUUGGAUCUUCAAAGGAUUAGAACCAGUUAAGAUGAUAUCAUGAACAUAAAGUAAUAAGAUAAUGAUAUCAGAGUCAUCCUUCUUGACAAACAAACUUGUAUCAGAAGUUGAUGCAUGAAACUCCAUAACUGUCAAAUAACUUGUAAACUUUGAAUUCCACACUCGUGGAGCCUGUUUCAAGCCAUAUGAUGUAUCAAUAAAUCCUUGUGGUUGCUGCAUAUAAACUUCUUUUUGUAAAUCUCCGUGUAGAAAAGCGUUCUUGAUAUCUAAUUGGCGAAGAGGCCAAUGAUUCAUUGCAGCUAAAGAAAGAAUAAUCCUUAUAGUAGUAUGUCCGACAACAGGACUAAAUGUGUCCAAGUAGUCAAUACCAUGUUCUUGGGAGAACCCUUGAGCUACAAGCCUUGCUUUAUACCUGGAGACACUGCCAUCAAAGUUUUUCUUCACUUUGUAUUCCCAUUUGUUUCCUACAAUUGUUCUGUCUUCAGGUGCAGGAACCAAUAGCCAAGUUCCUUGUGCUCGAAGUGAAUCAUAUUUCUCCUGCAUUGCCUUUUGCCACUGUGAAAUAGUAGGAGCUUUCCGAAAUGUCUUAGGUUCUGAAGCAUCAGUGAUCUCAGAAAGAAAGGAAUAGCCACCCGUGAAAGGUUCUUCAUCAGUGAUUUGGAGACAACAAAGCUCAGGACAUUGUGCUACUAAAGCAGCAUAAUUUUGUCCCUCAAUUGUUCCACUCUUCAAUCUAGGGACCAUUGAGUGAGUCAAUGGUGUAGUAUGUAAAAUGAGAUCAAAUAGAGAUAAAUCAGGAAGGAUUACCUCAAGUUGUGACUCAGAGUGGACAAGCAACAAGGAUUGUGUACCAGAGUGAUGAUGUGUAAGAGAGUGAUGAUGUGAAGAGCUUGGAGAUGCAUAUAGAAGAUUGGUUUCAGUCGAAUUUGUAUCUUGAUCACUAGGUUGAAUCACCUGUGUAUUGUCCGAACUAGAAAUAUUCAAUUAACCAACCACAUUUAUACUUUCACAAUUUGCAGGAAUACUGUGAUGUGAACCAGUAUCAUUUGCUGAUAUAUGUAUAGAACUAGCUGCUUGUGAAUCAUGCUGUAUUUAUGUAUGAGGCAGGACUCUUGCACUUGGAACUUGUAACUGAAUCAAAACAGGUGUCUGAGAACACCUAUAUGUAGCUGUAGAAUCCUUAGAUGGCAAAACUUGUUUAAACGGAUAUACAUCUUCAUCAUGUAGUACAUGCCCUGACAGAAUGAACUUUCUAGUCUUGAUAUCAUAACAAAUAACUCCUUUAUAUCCAUGAGCAAAACCAAGAAAUACACAUUGAGCUGACUGUAGCUCCAAUUUAUUCUUAUUGAAUGAUCUUAUCAAGAUAGAGCAGCCAUAAGAAACUCUUAACUUUGGAGGAAUAUGAAGUUUCCAAAUAAGAUUCCAUCGCCGGAAAAGCACAAGGCCUAAUGGCCCAAAAAUAAGCAGAUUUAACUGAAAAAUUACCAUCAUUUAUUCCACUUCAGAUACACUUGGCAGUCAAAGCAUCAAAACUAAUUGGAAUGCUAAGAAUUUGUUCAACCACCUCUUUAGUAAAACAAGUAAUAGUGGAUCCAAACCAUUAUUGUAACAAUAGUUAGCUACAGUAGCCUUAUAUGUAUUGUCGGCGUUACCACACAAUCCCGAUAUACGUCCAGGAUCGACAUGUGAUCUCAUCAAAUACUCAUAUCUCUAACUUACCCCACCUCCGGAAUAUGGCAAAGUGAUGAGUCAAUAUUUACCAUAUAUUUUACCCUAAUCUUAGUAUUAAUUUAUUAGUUAUUUUGGUAGAAUUUUGAUACUUUGUUAUAUAUUUCUAAUAUAGGACAUUCGACUUCAUCUGGAGAAAAAAGUAACCAAACGGAUGAUUUUUGGAGUGAUUCCAAUUGGAGGAUGUUUGUGAGUCUUCGAGAUGAUUAUAUCAAAAUUCCAAAUUUUUCUACCAAGUCGUUUGACCGUGGCAAUGAAAUUAAGGCCCUGCGCGCAGCUUUCUCAGAUUGACAUUUCGGGACAUUUUGCGUAUUUUGAAAGUCAAGAUGUAAUAUUUUGAGGAAGAUUUCUUCUGAGGAUUUGUAUGGGACGUCUCCAUCUUUCAAAAGAGACAUUUUGGGACCAAAUCGGAGUUGAUUUGGUUGGUCAGAAGUCUGAUUUUCUGAGAUCUCCGAAUUCUAGUUCAAAUAGGAAACCUUUUAUUUUCUGUUUUAUUAUUUUAUUAUGUUUCAUAGUUUUAUUGUAAGACCUUUUAGGGUUUUAUUUUGUAUUAGUAUAAAUAAGAUAUUUAGCCAUUAGGGGAAAAGGGGAGGAGAGAAUAGGAGGAGAAUGCACACAAUACUUUGGAGGAUUCAAGUUUAUUUUCAAGGUGUUUUCUAUCCAUGUUCUUAAUAAUAUUUUGUUUUAUAGUUGAUAGUAACUAGUUUCGUUUGCUAGAUCGAGGCCAUGACCCUUAGCAAGAAUACGUAGUUUCUUUUCAAUCUGCUUAUGAUAUUAUGCAUGCAAGUUUUGAAUUAUUAAUCAUCGUGCUUUAAACUAUCUAAUUGUGUUGAUGAUUGGCCGCCAUUAGGAUAUUUAGAAAAGUAAUUUGAUGCAAUUUUGGCGGAGGGCUGUCCCUAGAAUUGGUGCUGGCUUCUUGUGGUUAAUAUGUGUAACUUCUUAGGAUGGAUGACAUGUCUUAAGGGUUAUAUGGUUUUUCAAAAGGAUUUCACAAAACUUUAUGAGUCUUGCAUGUUAACUUUUGAUCUGGACACCACAGACAGGUUGCAUGUUAGAUAUAGGUUCUAUGUUGGAGGUUCCAAGUAAGGCAUACAUUAGGAAAACCUAACCAUCAAAAUAUGCAUUUGUAAUUCAUAAGUAAUUGGAAGAACUACGUAGGAUUGUUAAGGUGAUGGUGAAACCCUAGUGCUUAAAUUUAUUUUCAAAACUAUUUUCUUUGGUUUUCUUUACUUUCCCAAUUUAUAGUGGAUCCAAACCAUUAUUGUAACAAUACUUAGCUACAGUAGCGUUAAGCAUAUUAUCGGUGUCAUGCCCCGAUCCCGACAUACGUCUAGGAUCGACACGUGAUGUCACCAAAUACCCACAUCUCUAACUUACCCUGCCUCUAUGGCAAAGUGAUGAGUCAAUAUUUUACCAUAUAUUUUACCCUAAUCUUAGUAUUAAUUUGUUGGUUAUUUUGGAAGAAUUUUUAUACUUUGUUAUAUAUUUCUAAUGUAGGAUAUUCUACAUCCUCGGGAGAAAAAAGUAACCAAACAGAUGAAUUUUGGAGUGAUUCCAAUUAGAGAAUGUUCGUGAGUCUUUCAAGCUGAUUGUAUCAUAAUUCCAGAUUUUACUAUCAAGCUGUUUGACCGUGGCGAUGAAAUUAAGGCCCAGCACGCAACUUUCCCAUAUUGACGUUUCUGGACGUUUUGGGUAUUUUGAAGGUCAAGAUGUUAUGUUUGGAAGAAGAUUCCUUCUGAUGAUUUGUAUGGGACGUCUCCAGCUUUCAAAAGAGACCUUUUGGGAUGAAAUUGAAGUUGAUUUGUUUGGUCAAAAGUCUGAUUGUCUGAUAACUCCGAAUUCUAGUUCAAAUAGGAAACCUUUUAUUUUCUGUUUUAUUAUUUUAUUAUGUUUCCUAGUUUUAUUCUAAGACCUUUUAGGGUUUUAUUUUGUAUUAGUAUAAAUAAGAUGUUUAGCCAUUAGGGUAAAAGAGGAGGAGAGAAUAAGAGGAGAACACACAUAGUACUUUGGAGGAUUCAAGUUUAUUUUCAAGGUGUUUUCUAUCCAUGUUCUUAAUAAUAUUUUGUAUUAUGGUUGUUAGUAACUAGUUUCGUUUGCUAGGGCGAGGCCACGAGCCUUAGUGAGAAUAUGUAGUUUCUUUUCAAUUUGCUUAUGAUAUAUAUUAUGCAUGCAAGUUUUGAAUUAUUAAUCACUGUGCUUUAAACUAUAUAAUUGUCUUGAUGAUUGGCCACCAUUAGGAUAUUUAAAAAAGUAAUUUGAUGCAAUUUUGGUGGUGGGCUGUCCCUGGAAUUGGUGCUGGCUUCUUGUGGUUAAUAUGUGUAACUUCUUAGGAUGGACGACACGUCUUAAGGGUUAUAUGGUUGUUCAAAAGGAUUUCAUAAAACUUAAUGAGUCUUGCAUGUUCACAUUCGAUCUGGACACCACAGACAGGUUGCAUGUUAGAUAUACGUUCAAUGUUGGAGGUUCCAAGUAGGGCAUACUUUAGGAAAACCAAACCUUCAAAAUAUGCAUGUGUAAUUCAUAAGUAAUUGGAAGAACUACGUAGGAUUGUUAAGGUAACGGUGAAACCCUAGUGCUUAAAUUUAUUUUCAAAAACUAUUUUCUUUGGUUUUCUUUACUCUCCCAAUUUAUUUAAUUGUUUUCAGUUAAAUUCGUUUUUAAUAUUUUAGGUUAUAAAACCAACCUCUUCUAGACUUUAUUUUCAAAUAAUUAAUUAAGAUUUGGUUUUAACAUAAAUUAUGGCUUUUUUUAUUAGCACCCCACAAAAUGUUGAAUGCACCCCACAUUAAAAUUUAAUAUUAAAUGACUUAUUUACCCCACUAUGCAAUGACAAUUUUGACCUUAUUAGGUUUUAAAAAAAUAAAAUAAAAAUAUCUAAAUACACCCCAAAUCAAUGUUUUAGAACCUUCACAUGAGGUAAGACUAUGUUUCAUCGGUGGUUUGGUUAAUUUCAUAUUGCUUUUUUUUUUUUCUUCCGUUGGUUAUUCAUUUUCUUCUUUGCAGGUUACAAAUCCAGCCAGUGGUCCUCCUAGAGAAGGUUUGGUUAUAUCCCUUGAAAUGAACAAUGGAAAGCGACAAAAUAUUUUGGAGGUUAGACCAGAAAAUGCAUCGCAGGUUUGUUGGCAUGUACCACUCUGCCUAUUGAUAUUGAGUUGUAUGGUUCUUAACAAAUAAUUGAGGUGUAUGAUUCUUAGUAAAUAAAUGAGGAUUUGAUAAUAUUUUUUGGUGUAUUUAAAUAGGAUAGCAUACAAGGCAAUACCUCUAUAGGGGACAGUGAGGUUGCAACAACGAGCGUCGUUGAUUACACAAACGCAUUUAAAACAGACGAGGUAACUAUUUUUAGUAUAUUGAAUGUGCAUCUGUGAAUUUCAUGGAAACUCUUGCAUUCUUUUAUGCAACAUAGUGCAUUAGGUUCAUAAUAGGGACUAACAUAUGGGUUGGAAUCUUAGCAUGUCUACAAACAUUUUGUUAGUGGCAAAUGUCAAUGAUCUUGUAUGUACAGGUGUUCAAAAGUAAAAAUGAUUUCCUUGAUUGGACUCGCGCACAAGGAAAAAAGAAUAAUAUGGUUAUUGUCAUUAAGAGGUCUGAUGCGGGAAGGGUUGACCGAAUGAGGAAGAGAGCUCGAAUAACAUUUGCUUGUGAGAGACAUGGCGAGUAUCGAUCCAUAUUGAGGAAGUCUGAUAUUAAUGACCAAAAUUCUGAUGCAAAUAAUAAGAAGAAGAAAGAACCCAGGAAUACUGGUAUUAAAAAAUACGGAUGUCCAUUUAUGUUGAAAGGAGUCAACGUUGGAGAAGGAGAUGAAUGGAAAUUGGAGGUUGAGUGUGGGGUGCAUAACCAUACUUAUUCACAGUAUCUUGAAGGGCAUUCUUUUGUCGGACGAUUAACUAAAGAGCAAAAUGAACUUUUAGUUGACAUGUCUACAAGUUUAGUGAGACCCAAAGUUAUUUUGAACACCAUAAAGACAAAAGAUCCACUUAAUGUAACAACGAUGAGGACAAUAUACAAUGCAAGACACUAUCAUCGGACAAAAGAAAACGCAGGGAAAUCAGAAAUGCAACAGUUGUUAUGUAAGUUGGCUGAGUACAACUAUAUUGAGCAUCAUCAAAGUAUUGGUAUUGAUAAUGUUGUUAGUGACUUGUUUUGGACUCAACCAAUUAAUGUCGAUAUCUUACAUUGUUUCGCACAUGUACUUAUCAUGGAUUGCACGUACAAGACUAAUAGGCAUCGUUUCCACUCCUGGAGAUUGUAAGGGUAACUUCAACUAAUAUUACAUUGUCGGUUGCAUUUGCUUUCAUUGACCAUGAGAAGGAAGACAAUUACACAUGCGCAUUGACAAGAUUGAAGACUCUAAUGAAUGAUGAUUGUAUUCCUGGUGUGAUUGUCACUAGGGGUGGGUUCGGUUUAAAUCGGUUCGGUUUUUUGCCAAAACCGAAACCAAACCAAAAUUUCGGUUCGGUUCAAUUUUUUUUCUGUUUUUUUCGGUUCGGUUUUUUCCGGUUCGGUUUCGGUUCGGUUUUGGUUUUUUGUUUUUAUUUUUUUUCAAAGAAUGAAAAACAUUGAAAUUUUAAAUUUUAACAUAUCCAACACAAUCAUAACAUAAACAUUCUAACUAGAAUCAAAGACAAUGAAAAUAAACAUUUAAAGUUGAACUAAAAUCAUCAAUCAAGUCUUUCAAAGUCCAAACUAACAACCUCACAACACAAAAAUCACACAAAAAUCGUACAAAUGACUUAGAAAAGUUAAAUUGUAUGAUGUUGUUCAAAGAUCAGUGUUGUUUGCUUGUAACUGCAUGUUGACAACUUGAUUAGUAAAGGUAAUACGUGGGUGGAUUUAUUUAGUGUGUGUUGGAUUCUUUUCCAUCACAAAUUACCCAAGUAAUCUACCCGAAAUAAAUGUUUAUGGAUUAUGUUACAUGUUAUAUGAGAGUAGAUUUGGAAAAGAAAGCUGGCGUAGAAGUAGACAGUGCUAUGGAGAUGGAUGUAGGUACUUCGGGAAGAGGUUUGGUUCCGGAACCUUAUAUGGGGGAGAAAUAAUAGGUUAGGGUUUAGAGUUUUUAUAGGCCUUUUUUUUAAUAUUUUGAGCUUAAAGUUUGGCAACACAUUGGGUUAGCACAUUUUAACUUACAAAUUGGGUUUAGAAAAUAAUACCCAAAACAAAUAAUUAAAUAAAAAAUUUAAUUUAAUUAAUUCGGUUCGGUUCGGUUCGGUUUGGUUCGGUUUCUAGAUCACUAAAACUGAACCGAACCAAAAGAAUUCGGUUCGGUUCGGUUUUUUCAAUUCGGUUCGGUUUUUUUGUUCGGUUCGGUUUUUUCGGUUUCGGUUCGGUUUGGUUUUCGGUUUUUUUCGGUUUUCGGUUUUUUGAACCCACCCCUAAUUGUCACUGAUCGAGACUUAGCAAACUAAACUGAAAUAUAUUGAUUGCAAGGCAAGAGUACAAUUGUAAAAACAAGGUUUACUUUUUAAUGGAGGUUGUGUAGGAAAAAUUACAUUCAAAUUCAUUGCGGACCUCUUUUUUUUCUAAGACCAAAUCAAAGAAAAAAAUAAUUGAAUCAAUGAAUUACUAUAGCAGCUCCAUUUCUGACAAUGGCAAGAGGUCUCUGUGCUAAUCAAACUACCCCGAAAUUUUAUCCUAAAACUAUACUCGAGCUCCACCUUAUCUGCAAUCUCAAAUGCCUUCUCAAUAUCAUUUCAUGAUAAACCUGCUAUCCCUAUUUAUAAGAAAUUAAGCACAAGCUAGCUCAAGUUAUGGUCUUUAAUUAAUAUUAAUUUCGACAAAUCAGCUUCCCAUCUCUUUCAUUCAUAUGAACAUGGCGCAAUAUUUGUUUAAAUUAGCUGUUCGGGUUGAUUUCUUUGUAUAACUCUUCUGCCAAUUCUGCAACUUGUAGACGUAAUUCCCAUUUCAAAAUUUUAAAAAAUAAAAUAAAAUCCAAAACUAAUGUAAGAUAAAUAAAGACUUUUUUAUAUCAUAAAAUAAGACUUUCAAACUUGUAUACAAGACUAUAGUGACAAAAUCAAACACAUUGAUGGGUGCGCAUGUUCCUUCAACAUCUGUUAUGUGCGUUUAAACUGAGCGUCGAGUCUUUUUUAAGCACCUUUAAAAGUUUAACAAACUAACUAACUCCAAUAGCUGAUAUGGCACUUAUGAUGAUGUGUCAAUCACUAUAUAUCUUCAACAUCCCCCCGCAAUCUCAACUGGGAUUUUCCAGCUUGAGAUUGUAAAAAUGUUUGACAAAUGAAAGACUGUGAAGACCUUUGGUAAGAACAUCGGGAGUUUGCUCCUCAGUUGGGAUAUACAACACCUCCAAAUCGCCUUGCUGCACUCGUUCUCAGUUUAUAUCAAGGUGUUUAAUUCUGAAAUGAAACACCAGAUUGGCACUUAAGGCAAUAGCAGACAUAUUCUUACAGUGAAUCGUUGGUGGAGCAUCCAAAAAUACACCCAAAUCCUUCAAUAUAUUUCGAAUUCAAGCUAUAUGUGCCGCAGUAUGUGCUAAGGCUUUAUAUUCAGCCUCAGUAGAACUCCUGGAUACCGAGUUUUCUUUCUUCGAUUGCCAAGAAAUUGGAUUAUUGCCUACGUACACGACAUAACUAGUGAUAGACCGACGAGUAUUCAAGUAUGCAGCCCAAUCAGAAUCAGAAAACGCAGUAAGCUUUGAAACUGUGUUUGCAGAAAAAGUAAUACCAAUGUUCAUGGUUCCUUGAAGAUAACGAAUGAUUCGUUUAACAAUGCCAAAAUGAACAUCAGUUGGUGAGGACAUAAACUGACAUACUGUGUUUACAGCAAAGGCAAUAUCAGGCCUAGUAAAGGUUAGAUAUUGUAAAGAUCCCACAAUGCUUCUGUAGGAGGUUGGAUCUGUCAAUAAUUGUCCCUUAGAGUGUAACAUUUGAUGAUGAGGUUUACAAGGAGUGGUUGCUGGUUUACAUGAUUCCAUACCUGCUUUAUGGACGAGAUCUUUGAUACACUUAGACUGAUUAACAAAAACACUGCCAUCUGCUUUAUAUUGAACUUAUAAACGCAAAAAAUAUGUAAGUUGUCCCAUAUCCUUUAACUCGAAUACCUCAGAUAAUUAUUGAAUCACUUUUUGGAUCUUCAAGGAUUAUAACCAGUUAAGAUGAUAUCAUCAACAUAAAGUAAUAAGAUGAUGAUAUCAGAGCCAUCCUUCUUGACAAACAAACUUGUAUCAGAAGCUGAUGCAUGAAACUCCAUAACUGUCAAAUGACCAUAUACAUAAUAACUGUCAAAUAACUAUAUACAUAAUAACUCCAUAGAGUGAAGAUAGGAUAUUUAAACUCUUCUGUACUUAGAGAUAUGGUUGAUGUGGGAUAUUUCAAUACCUAUAUAUAUAUAUAUAUAUAUAUAUAUAUAGUAAAAACUACAUACAUAAUAAUACUACCAUAAUAGUUGUCACAAUCAAUUCAUCUCGCACGUCAUAUCAAAGAAAGUAAGUCAUUCAUAAAAUCAAAGUAAUAGAAUAUGAUUUUAUCAAUAUCGUAGAUGAUUCUUAUAAUCAUGUAUAUGCACGUUGGUGCGACUUAGAUUCCAAUGAUCUCUCUACUAAAUAUAUUUAUUUCAUAAACGCUAUAAUUUGUAUACAUAAUAAAUGAUUUGAUCAUAUUAAUUCUGCAUAGUCCCCUCAAGUUGGAUAGUAAAUGUCAUAAUUAAGGCUUUUUAGUCAAAAUGGAGUCCUUGAGAUUUGCCUAACUCAUUACCUUGGUCCCUGAGAUUCAAAAUCAAUAGAAGUGAUCCAUGAGAUAGUCCACCAUCAAUCAUUUUGGUCCUUCAGUGAAAAAUUGUGUUAAAUAAGAAUUAAAAUGACAAAAUUACCCUCAAUGUAAUAAACAAUAGGCCAACAUGAUUUGACAAAAAUUGAGGGUAUUUUUAAUAUUUUAUCCUUAUUUUAUGGAGAUUUUUCACUGAAUGAUGAAAAUGAUUGAUUGUGAACAAACCCAAGUACCAAUUCUAUCAAUUUCAAAUCUCAAGGACCAAAGCAAGGAGUUAUGCAAAUCUCAAUAACCAUUUUAACUAAAAAAUUAUUAUUCCUAAUUUCCUAAAGCCCUUGGGAAGGUAUCUGCCAAUUGUACCCGAGAAGAAGUGCAGCAAGGAAAAUUUUAUAAAGACAAUGGAUACAUGCCACUUCGCUGCAAAAAACGAUACUUAAAGGACAAUUUUCCCGAGUUUUUCACCGCCGUUUUUACCGUUUGCUGCAAAAAACAAAUACUCUCCCCUUGCGAGCUCCGUCGUCAAUUCCCUUCACGAACUUUGAGUCCCUCUGAAAAAAUGAUUACAUGAAAUUUGAAUUUUUCAAACUUUGUGUCUGGUUAUAUCUAACGAUCCCUAAUUCUAAAUUUAUGGUUUAGAUAUAUAAAAAAGAUAUCUCGGGUACUUCAUUGCUAUCCAUUAAGCUCCCCACUUUCAAGCAAAGCAAAAAAUUCUAAUUGAGUUGAGUUUUGAACAUGCUGAUUAGUUAGACAACUGAAUUACUAAUCUUUAUUAUUAUUGCAACAAACACACGGAUUACACUAAAAGCUAGUGAAUCAUACACUUGCAGAUGACUUAUCCAAACACAAAGAUAAGACAUGAUUUUAUUAUUAUUGCUAUAAACACACGAAUUACAACGAAAUUCAAAAACUAAAAACAAGGAAAAAAGUAGUGAUGAAAACCAAUGCCACUUCCGGGAACACGAUUGCAUUCGCACAUGCAACAAGCCUUUUAAACCCAUAGGUGACCCAAAUGGGACGAGUGAAGUCUCGUGAGGGUUUCCAGAGACGUUACCCACAAACAUCAUGCAUACGGAUCAUCAACAUCUGACUUGGGAGACUGAGUAGAUAUCCACCCCUCCAGCAUCAGGUUGUUUUUGGUUAAGGCGUAAUUCGAAUCUGUUUUCAAUGAACGGCCUGGUUAUGAGAUCGCUUUGCAAGUGACGUAAUCGGCAGCGCGUGAUUAGGUUGUUGCUGUCAGGUGGUCCGACAGGCUCGACCUUGAACAAUGUGCAAGCCCAAUUGUCUUUGGUUUCAUUUCGGUCAGCAGCUGCGGCCAGGACCAAUAGCUUGUUUUGGUCCACCCUUCUCAAGUAGUUGCCAUUGUAGGAGCAUUUGAUAUGCACGUAAUUCUUGUCGGCGUAGUCCUCAUUGUUUGGCUUCUCGGUGGUGAACUUUAUGAACCUGCUGUUUUCAUUGUCCUCGGAAAACUGGACAAUCUCAUUAAGGUCGCUUUCUGCAUCAAGUUGAUAGCGCAAAUACUUGUUGUUGAUAUCUGCUUUCAGCAGAAAAGGGCUUGGUAGUACAGGUGGAGCCAUAUCGUAUAGUGUAGUUGGGAUUGGGAUGCUCUCUCUUUUUAAUUCUCUGUUGAUGAUCUAAUUUGCUUGCUGUGAAUGUGAUGCUUAGUUUAAACCUGCUAUCCUAUUUAUAAGAAAUUAAGCACAAGCUAGCUCAAGUUAUGGUCUUUAAUUAAUAUUAAUUUCGACAAAUCAGUUUCCCAUCUCUUUCAUUGAUAUGAACAUGGCUGAUCUCAUUGGUGUGGCGCAAUAUUUGUUAAAUUAGCCGUUCGGGUUGAUUUCUUUGUACAACUCAUCUGCCAAUUCUACAACUUGUAGACCUAAUUCCCAGUACAAAAUUAAAAAAAAAUUAAAAUCCAAAACUAAUAUAAGAUAAAUAAAGACUUUUUAUAUCAUAAAAUAAGACUUUCUAACUUGUAUACAAGACUAUAGUGACAAGAUCAAACACAUUGAUGGGUGCGCAUUUUCCAUCAACAUCUGUUCUGUGUGUUUAAACUGACCGUGGAGUCUUUUUAGCAAUUAAAAGUUUUGUAUCAUGUAAUUGUCUUGGUUUGAUAAGACCUACAUCUAGAUGAGUUGCUUCUGAAGACUAAUGUAAAACUUUAUGUUGAUAUUUCUUGAGGGUGAAACAUCGUUUGAGAAACGUGUAGGGCCUCAUUACAAUGUUUUCAUUUAGUUUUUAACUUUUGGUUUAAAUAUUCUACUAUGAAUAAAUUUGUGGCUUUAAUAACUAGUAAAACCACUUUCAAAUAUCUUAGUAUCGGCUUUCAGAACAAAGGGGUUUGCUAGUACAGGUGGAGCCAUGUUGUAUAGUGUAGCUGGGAUUGGGAUGAUCUCUCUCUCUUUUUUGUUUUUUGUUUUUCCUUUAAUUUGCUUGCUUUGAAUGUGAUGCUCAGUUCAAACCUACUAUCCUAUUUCUAAGAAAUUAAGCACAAGCUAUCUCAAGUUAUGGACUUUAAUUAAUAUUAAUUUCCUCAAUCAGUUUCCCAUAUCUUUCAUUGAUACGAACAUGGCUGAUCUCAUUGGUGUGACGCAAGAUUUGUUAAAAUAGCGAUCGGAUUGAUUUUUCUUUGUAUAACUCUUCUGCCAAUUCUGAACUUGUACAUAUAAUUCCCAUUAUAAAAUAAAUAAAUAAAAUUCAAAACUCAUAUAAAAUAAAUAGAGACUUUUUAUAGCAUAUAAAAUAAGACUUUGUAACUUGUACAUAGUUACUGAUAACAUUCAUCUAAGAACUAACAGAUGAAUGUAUGCAAGCAAUAUUGAAGAAAUACAGAGAGAAAGAUCGAAAGGAAUAGAGAGAGAAAUAGAGAAAGAAAUGAGUGAAAGCUUUGUUAUUUCAUAAGAACAAAAGAUCAUCACAAAAGAACCCUGAUUCCUUCUUAUAUAGUCUGCACAUGUAGCUUAUCAGCUAAGCCACCUGUGUAACUAAUUCUUAACAAACUAACUAACUCCAAUAGCUGAUAUGGCACUUAUGAUGAUGUGUCAAUCACUAUAUAUCUUCAACAUCCCCCCGCAAUCUCAACUGGGAUUUUCUAGCUUGAGAUUGUAAAAAUGUUAGACAAAUGAAGGACUGUGAAGACCUUUGGUAAGAACAUCGGCAGUUUGCUCCUCAGUUGGGAUAUACAACACCUCCAAAUCGCCUUCAUGCACUCGUUCUCGUACAAAAUGGUAGUAUGUAUUAAGGUGUUUAAUUCUUGAAUGAAACACCAGAUUAGCACUUAAGGCAAUAGCGGACAUAUUGUCACAGUGAAUCGUUGGUGGAGCAUCCAAAAAUACACUCAAAUCCUUCAAUAUAUUUCGAAUCCAAGCUAUAUCUGCGGCAGUAUGUGCUAAGGCUUUAUAUUCAGCCUCAGUAGAACUCCUGGAUACCGAGUUUUGUUUCUUCGAUUGCCAAGAAAUUGGAUUACUACCCAAGUACACGACAUAACCAGUGAUAGACUGACGAGUAUUCAAGUCUGUAGCCCAAUAAGAAUCAGAAAACGCAGUAAGCUUUGAAACUGUGUUUGCAGAAAAAGCAAUACCAAUGUUCAUGGUUUCUUGAAGAUAACGAAUGAUUCAUUUAACAACGCCAAAAUGAACAUCAGUUGGUGAGGACAUAAACUGACAUACUGUGUUUACAGCAAAGGCAAUAUCAGGCCUAGUAAAGGUCAGAUAUUGUAAAGAUCCCACAAUACUUAUGUAAAAGGUUGGAUCUGUCAAUAAUUGUCCCUCAGAGUGUAACAUUUGAUAAUGAGGUUUACAAGGUGUGGUUGCUGGUUUACAUGAUUCCAUACCUGCUUUAUGGACGAGAUCUUUGAUAUACUUAGACUGAUUAACAAAAACACUGCCAUUUGCUUUAUAUUGAACUUGUAAACCCAAAAAAUAUGUAAGUUGUCCCAUAUCCUUUAACUCGAAUACCUCAGAUAAUUAUUGAAUCACUUUUUGGAUCUUCAAAGGAUUAGAACCAGUUAAGAUGAUAUCAUGAACAUAAAGUAAUAAGAUAAUGAUAUCAGAGUCAUCCUUCUUGACAAACAAACUUGUAUCAGAAGUUGAUGCAUGAAACUCCAUAACUGUCAAAUAACUUGUAAACUUCGAAUUCCACACUCGUGGAGCCUGUUUCAAGCCAUAUAAUGACUUGACCAAUUUGCAAACAUGAGAAAGAUAUGAUGUAUCAAUAAACCCUUAUGGUUCCUGCAUAUAAACUUCUUUUUGUAAAUCCCCGUGUAGAAAAGCGUUCUUGAUAUCUAAUUGGCGAAGAGGCCAAUGAUUCAUUGCAGCUAAAGAAAGAAUAAUCCUUACAGUAGUAUGUCCGACAACAGGACUAAAUGUGUCCAAGUAGUCAAUACCAUGUUCUUGGGAGAACCCUUGAGCUACAAGCCUUGCUUUAUACCUGGAGACACUGCCAUCAGAGUUUUUCUUCACUUUUUGUUCUGUCUUCAGGUGCAGGAACCAAUAGCCAAGUUCCUUGUGCUCGAAGUGAAUCAUAUUUCUCCUGCAUUGCCUUUUGCCACUGUGAAAUAGUAGGAGCUUUCCGAAAUGUCUUAGGUUCUGAAGCAUCAGUGAUCUCAGAAAGAAAGGAAUAGCCACCCGUGAAAGGUUCUUCAUCAGUGAUUUGGAGACAACAAAGCUCAGGACAUUGUGCUACUAAAGCAGCAUAAUUUUGUCCCUCAAUUGUUCCACUCUUCAAUCUAGGGACCAUUGAGUGAGUCAAUGGUGUAGUAUGUAAAAUGAGAUCAAAUAGAGAUAAAUCAGGAAGGAUUACCUUAAGUUGUGACUUAGAGUGGACAAGCAACAAGGAUUGUGUACCAGAGUGAUGAUGUGUAGGAGAGUGAUGAUGUGAAGAGUUUGGAGAUGCAUAUAGAAGAUUGGUUUCAGUCGAAUUUGUAUCUUGAUCACUAGGUUGAAUCACUUGUGUAUUGUCCGAACUAGAAACAUUCAAUUAACCAACCACAUAUAUACUUUCACAAUUUGCAGGAAUACUGUGAUGUGAACCAGUAUCAUUUGCUGAUAUAUGUAUAGAACUAGCUGCUUGUGAAUCAUGCUGUAUUUAUGUAUGAGGCAGGACUCUUGCACUUGGAACUUGUAACUGAAUCAAAACAGGUGUCUGAGAACACCUAUAUGUAGCUGUAGAAUCCUUAGAUGGCAAAACUUGUUUAAACGGAUAUACAUCUUCAUCAUGUAGUACAUGCCUUGACAGAAUGAACUUUCUAGUCUUGAUAUCAUAACAAAUAACUCCUUUAUAUCCAUGAGCAAAACCAAGAAAUACACAUUGAGCUGACCGUAGCUCCAAUUUAUUCUUAUUGAAUGAUCUUAUCAAGAUAGAGCAGCCAUAAGAAACUCUUAACUUUGGAGGAAUAUGAAGUUUCCAAAUGAGAUUCCAUCGCCGGAAAAGCACAAGGCCUAAUGGCCCAAAAGUAAGCAGAUUUAACUGAAAAAUUACCAUCAUUUAUUCCACUUCAGAUACACUUGGCAGUCAAAGCAUCAAAACUAAUUGGAAUGCUAAGAAUUUGUUCAACCACCUCUUUAGUAAAACAAGUAAUAGUGGAUCCAAACCAUUAUUGUAACAAUAGUUAGCUACAGUAGCCUUAUAUGUAUUGUCGGCGUUACCACACAAUCCCGAUAUACGUCCAGGAUCGACAUGUGAUCUCAUCAAAUACUCAUAUCUCUAACUUACCCCACCUCCGGAAUAUGGCAAAGUGAUGAGUCAAUAUUUACCAUAUAUUUUACCCUAAUCUUAGUAUUAAUUUAUUAAUUAUUUUGGUAGAAUUUUGAUACUUUGUUAUAUAUUUCUAACAUAGGACAUUCGACUUCAUCUGGAGAAAAAAGUAACCAAACGGAUGAUUUUUGGAGUGAUUCCAAUUGGAGGAUGUUUGUGAGUCUUUCGAGAUGAUUAUAUCAAAAUUCCAAAUUUUUCUACCUAGCCGUUUGACCGUGGCAAUGAAAUUAAGGCCCUGCGCGCAGCUUUCUCAGAUUGACAUUUCAGGACAUUUCGGGACAUUUUUUCAAUUCGGUUCGGUUUUUUUGUUCGGUUCGGUUUUUUCGGUUUCGGUUCGGUUUGGUUUUCGGUUUUUUUCGGUUUUCGGUUUUUUGAACCCACCCCUAAUUGUCACUGAUCGAGACUUAGCAAACUAAACUGAAAUAUAUUGAUUGCAAGGCAAGAGUACAAUUGUAAAAACAAGGUUUACUUUUUAAUGGAGGUUGUGUAGGAAAAAUUACAUUCAAAUUCAUUGCGGACCUCUUUUUUUUCUAAGACCAAAUCAAAGAAAAAAAUAAUUGAAUCAAUGAAUUACUAUAGCAGCUCCAUUUCUGACAAUGGCAAGAGGUCUCUGUGCUAAUCAAACUACCCGAAAUUUAUCCUAAAACUAUACUCGAGCUCCACCUUAUCUGCAAUCUCAAAUGCCUUCUCAAUAUCAUUUCAUGAUAAACCUGCUAUCCUAUUUAUAAGAAAUUAAGCACAAGCUAGCUCAAGUUAUGGUCUUUAAUUAAUAUUAAUUUCGACAAAUCAGCUUCCCAUCUCUUUCAUUCAUAUGAACAUGGCGCAAUAUUUGUUAAAUUAGCUGUUCGGGUUGAUUUCUUUGUAUAACUCUUCUGCCAAUUCUGCAACUUGUAGACGUAAUUCCCAUUUCAAAAUUUUAAAAAAUAAAAUAAAAUCCAAAACUAAUGUAAGAUAAAUAAAGACUUUUUAUAUCAUAAAAUAAGACUUUCAAACUUGUAUACAAGACUAUAGUGACAAAAUCAAACACAUUGAUGGGUGCGCAUGUUCCUUCAACAUCUGUUAUGUGCGUUUAAACUGAGCGUCGAGUCUUUUUUAGCAAUUAAAAGUUUUGUAUCAUGUAAUUGUCUUGGUUUGAUAAGACCUACAUCUGGAUAAGUUGCUUCUGAAGACUAAUGUAAAACUUUAUGUUGAUAAUUCUUGAGGGUGAAACAUCGUUUGAGAAAUGUUUUGGACCUCAUUACAAUUUUUUCAUUUAUUUUUUAACUUUUGGUUUAAAUAUUCUACUACAAAUACAUUUGUGGCUUCAAUAACUACUAAAACCACUUUCAAAUAUCUUAGUAUUGGCUUUCAGAACAAAGGGGUUUGGUAGUACAGGUUGAGCCAUGUUGUAUAGUGUAGCUGGGAUUGGGACGAUCUCUCUCUUUAUUUAUUUAUUUUUUUCCUUUAAUUUGCUUGCUUUGAAUGUGAUGCUCAGUUCAAACCUACUAUCCUAUUUCUAAGAAAUUAAGCACAAGCUAUCUCAAGUUAUGGUCUUUAAUUAAUAUUAAUUUCCUCAAUCAGUUUCCCAUUUCUUUCAUUGAUACGAACAUGGCUGAUCUCAUUGGUGUGACGCAAGAUUUGUUAAAAUAGCUGAUCGGAUUGAUUUUUUCUUUGUACCCGAGAAGAAAUGCAGGAAGGAGGAAUUUAUAAAGACAACGGAUACCUGCUCUUCGCUGCAAAAAACGACACUUAAAAGGACAAUUUUCCCGAGGUUUUCACCGCUGUUUUUACCGUUUGCUGCCAAAAACAAAUACUCUCCCCUUGCGAGCUCCGUUGUCAAUUCCCCUCGCGAACUUUGAGUCCCUCUGAAAAAAUGAUUAAGUGAAAUUUGAAUUUUUCAAACUUUGUGUUUGGUUAUAUCUAACAAUCCCUAAUUCCAAAUUUAUGGUUUAGAUAUAUAAAAAAGAUAUCUCGGGUACUUCAUUGCUAUCCAUUAAGCUCCCCACUUUCAAACAAAGCAGAAAAUUCUAAUUGAGUUGGGUUUUGAACAUGCAGAUUAGUUAGACAACUGAAUUACCAAUCCUUAUUAUUAUUGCAACAAACACACGGAUUACACUAAAAGCUAGUGAAUCAUACACUUGCAGAUGACUUAUCCAAACACAAAGAUAAGACAUGAGUUUAUUGUUAAAUUGUGGCCAAGUGGCCAUCACCUUUUGUAUUAAACAAAUAAAAAGAAAAAAAAAAGGGAGACAUCAUGAUGUUGUUUCUUACUUUGUGAUAAUGACAAAUGAUGAUGUUGGAGAAUUAUUUUUUAUUUGGCCCAUGUGGGAAGUCACGGGGUGACUUGAAGGAUUUAUUUAGCAGCAAUUGCUGCUUGUGUGGUUAAGAGAAGAAAACAGAGAGCAGAAGAAAAAGGAAAGAGAGCUGCCGAGAGCAAGAGAGUUGCAGAGAGCCCAAACAGAAAAAGAAGCUGCUGCUUCAUUUGAUUAGUAAUCAUCAACCAAAGUAGUUGUUGUUGUAAUAGUUUUGAGCUAUAUGUAUAGAGAAGAAAUUAUUCAUUAUAUUUCUUUCUCUAUUUGUUUCUUUGGUGUGUGAGAGUUAUUGGGUGUAUUGGGCUUUUGGGUUGUGAGAUUGUCAACACUUUGUAAACUCCCAUUUGGUUGAUAGUGGAUUAUUGGGUGAGCUCCUACUGCUCCGAGGACGUACUCCAGUUACACUGACUGUUGAGGAACCUCGUUAAAAUCUUGGUGUUCUUUUAUAUUUUGUUCUUGCAUUUUCAUUUGAUAAAUUUCCUGUGGGUUAGCUUGAGUUGGUUCCAACGGGUUUGGUGCUAUCCUAGCACAACAAUUGGUAUCAGAGCACUGGUUGCUCUUGGGUACUGUCUAGUUGCCAAAGAUGUCAGACGGGCAAGAUGAGAAUCCUUUUGGAAGCACCUCCGGGUUUGCAAGAACUACGGUGCAAAAUGCAAAGUUCGAAGUGGAAAAGUUUGAUGGCACAAACAACUUCGGGAUGUGGCAAUGUGAGGUCAAAGAUGUGUUGGCUCAACAAGAUCUACUUGCCGCUUUGGGAGAGAAGCCGGAAGCUAUGUCGAAGCCGGAAUGGGAGAAAUUAAAUUUGUGGGCUUGCUCUUCAAUUCGGUUGUGCCUUGCAAAAACUCAGAAGUAUUUUUUGUGAUGCGGGAGACAUUGGCAAGUGUGUGUGGCAAAAAUUGGAAGACAAGUAUAUGACGAAGAGUGCAGAGAACCGGCUACACUUGAAGAAAAAACUCUACCGCUUCCAAUACAAAGAAGGUACAAAAAUGAUUAGACACCUUGAUGCUUUUAAUAAGUUGAUUGCCGACUUGUUAAAUUUAGAUGAGGAUAUUAAGGAUGAAGAUAAGGCCUUAAUAUUGUUGAAUUCCUUGCCGGACUCUUAUGAGCAUUUUGUUACCACUAUUAUGCAUGGUAAAAAAACUGUGAAAUUUGAAGAUGUGUCAAAUGCCUUGAUGAAUUAUGAAAUGAGGCAUAGAGAUAAAAAUCAUGAUAGUACCUCUGAAGCUUUAUUUGUUAGAGGUAGAUCAUCGGAGAGGAGGUCAUCUUCUAGCAGGAAAAAAUCACAAUCUCGACCUAGAGGAAACUCUAAAGGUAGAAAACCUUUGGAAAGGGAUGAAUGUGCCUUUUGUCGUAAUAAGGGCCAUUGGAAGAAAGAUUGUCCUAAAUUGAAGAACAAAGGCAAAGAAAGUUCUGAAGCUAAUGUUGCUGAGGUUGAAACAGAUUUUUCUGAUUUUGCUUUAACCACUUCCUCAUCAUUUGAUUGUGCUACUAAGUGGGUGUUGGAUACGGGUUGUACUCAUCAUAUGACUCCUCACAAGGAUUGGUUUUCAAGCUUGAAAGAGUUUGAUGGUGGCGUUGUGUUCAUGGGAGAUGACAAUCCUUGCACAACAAAAGGGAUUGGUACAGUUCGUUUGAAGUUGCAUGAUGGCAUGGUUAAAGAGUUGACAGGUGUUCGGUAUGUACCGAAUUUGAAGAAAAAUCUUAUUUCUUUGGGUACUUUGGAAUCCAAGGGUUUCAGGUUUCAUUCAGAUGGACAGACAUUGAAAGUUACUUAUGGUGCACAUGUUGUGAUGAAAGCUCCUAGAUGUGGCCAUUUGUAUUUAUUGCAGGGAAGCACUGUGACAGGUGAAGCAUCUGUAGUCUCUGAAAAUAUGGGCACAUCUGAUUCAGAUACUACUAGAUUGUGGCAUAUGAGAUUAGGCCGUACCGGUGAGAAAGCUCUACAAGGGCUUGUGAAACAAGGUCUUCUAAAAGGUGCCAUGACUUGUAAGCUUGAUUUCUGUGAGCAUUGUGUCUUGGGGAAGCAAACUAGAGUGAAGUUUGGUACUGCUGUACAUCAGACGAAGGGCAUUCUUGAUUAUGUGCAUUCGGAUGUUUGGGGUCCUACAAAGACUCCCUCUUUGAGUGGUAGACAUUGGUUCGUGACCUUUGUUGAUGAUUAUUCAAGAAGGUCUUGGGUCUACACUAUGAAGCACAAGAGUGAGCUGUUAAGCAUUUUCUUGGGUUGGAAGAAAAUGGUUGAGAACCAGACUGGGAGAAAGAUUAAGAUUUUGAGAUCGGAUAAUGGUGGUGAAUACACAUCCGAUCCUUUCUUUAAAGUUUGCAAAGAGGAAGGAAUUGUGAGACAUUUCAGUGUUCGGGGAACUCCACAACAAAAUGGAGUUGCAGAAAGAUUGAAUCGAACCUUGCUUGAGAAGGUUAGAUGUAUGUUGUCUCAGUCGGGUUUAAGCAAGUCAUUUUGGGCAGAGGCAGUUAAUUAUGCAUGUCACAUCUCAACCGGUUACCCUCAGCUGCUGUUCAGGGUAAGACACCAAUGGAGGUAUGGACUGGAAAACCUUCUUCUGAUUAUGACUAUAUCCGUAUUUUUGGUUCACCUGCUUAUUUUCAUGUAACUGAAAAUAAACUUGAUCCAAGAGCCAAAAAGGCUAUCUUUCUUGGUUUUAGUAGUGGUGUCAAAGGUUACAGGUUGUGGUGUCCAGAGAUGAAAAAACUUGUAAUCAGCAGAGAUGUGACAUUUGAUGAAGAAAGUAUGUACAAAGUCUCUGAGAAGAAUGUGAAAGAUGUCCAACAGGUGGAGCUUGAGAAAGUUGCCUCUGAUACUUCAAAUCCUAUUUCCGCUGAUGUCGAAGCCACUACAAGUGAAGAAGUUGGAGACCAUGAGAAUGUUGAAGAAGUUGAACUUGAAGAUUCUAUUCAAGUUGAAGAGCAAGUUUCACCUCAAGAGUCUAUUGCUAAGAACAGAGGAAAAAGACAAAUUACCAAGCCAGCUCGGUACAGUGACUAUGUUGCUUUUGCUCUUCCUAUUAUCACUGAUGAGAUUCCAUCCAAUUUUGAGGAAGCUAUUGAGAGUGAGGAGAAGAAAAGGUGGUGCAAUGCCAUGGGUGAUGAAAUGAAUUCUCUCUUGAAGAACAAGACUUGGGAGUUAGCUAAAUUGCCUAAGGGCAAGAAAGCUAUCGGUUGCAAAUGGGUGUAUGCCAAGAAGGAAGAUGCUGAUGAGAAAAGCAAUGUGAGAUUUAAAGCAAGAUUAGUUGCUAAAGGGUAUGCACAAAAGGAGGGCAUUGACUACAAUGAAAUAUUUUCUCCAGUUGUGAAGCGCUCCUCAAUUCGUAUUAUGUUAGCUCUUGUUGCACAAUAUGAUCUUGAGCUUGUGCAACUUGAUGUGAAGACGGCUUUCCUACAUGGUGAUUUGAAUGAAGAGAUCUAUAUGUGUCAACCGGAUGGGUAUUGUGAAAGGGAAGGAAAAUUUGUUUUGCAAAUUGAAGAAAUCGCUUUAUGGCUUGAAGCAAUCUCCAAGGCAAUGGUAUUUGAGGUUUGAUAAAUUUAUGAGAGGCCAAAAUUAUUCUAGAAGUCAAUAUGAUCAUUGUGUGUACUUCAAGAAGUUGCAAGAUGGGUCUUUCAUUUAUUUAUUGAUAUAUGUUGAUGAUAUGUUGAUUGCCUCAAAGAAUGUUGAGGAGAUUGAGAAAUUGAAGAAACAAAUGAAGAAUGAGUUUGAGAUGAAGGAUCUUGGUGAAGCAAAUCCUUGGCAUGGAGAUCACUAGAGAUAGAGAGAAGGGUUUGGUCAGUUUGAAUCAAAGACAAUACCUUGAGAAGUUGAUUCGGAAGUUUGGAGUUCAUGAUUCAACCAAACCGGUUAGUACCCCUUUGGCUCCUCAUUUUAAAUUGAGUUCUCUACAGUGUCCUAAAACUGAUAAAGAGAAGCUGCAAAUGAAAAAUAUACCAUAUGCAAAUUUGGUUGGUAGUUUGAUGUAUGCAAUGGUAUGCUCUAGACCGGAUAUUGCUCAUGCAGUUGGCAUGGUGAGUCGAUAUAUGCAUAAUCCAGGUAAAGAGCACUGGCAAGCAGCUAAGUGGAUAUUGAGAUAUCUCCAUGGUACUCGAGAUGUUGGUUUAUGCUUUGAGAGAGAUGACUCUGGUAUUGGUCAUUUUGCAGUUGGUUAUGUUGAUUCAGAUUAUGCAGGUGAUCUGGAUGGAAGGAAGUCUACUACAGGCUAUGUGUUUACUAUGGCUAAAGGACCAGUUUGUUGGAGGUCCAUUUUGCAGUCGUCUGUUGCCUUGUCUACUACAGAGGCUGAAUAUAUGGCAGUUGCUGAAGCUAUAAAGGAGGCCAUUUGGAUACAUGGGCUGAUUAGAGAUUUGGGGGUUGAUCAGAAGCAGGUGGAGGUACAUUGUGAUAGUCAGAGUGCCAUUUAUUUGGCUAAGUAUCAGGUUCAUCAUGCGAGGACCAAGCACAUAGAUGUGCGUUAUCACUUUGUUCGUGAAAUUGUUGGUGAAGGGGAAAUCAUUCUCCAGAAGAUUCCAACUAAAGACAACCCCGCUGAUAUGUUGACUAAGGUUGUUGGUGUAGCCAAGUUUGUUCACUGUUUGAACUUGGCUCACAUUAUGCCUAUAUAAAGAAGGCGUUGAGCAGUAGGAGUUUUGGAGCAUUUGGCUCGGCAUGAGUUGUUCUCUUGCUAGUGUUCGGGAGUGAUGUUGUGUGCUAAUUGUGUUGGUUGGCUUAUCAUGGCGUUUUCGGAACUUGGCCAAGGUGGAGAUUGUUAAAUUGUGGCCAAGUGGCCAUCACCUUUUGUAUUAAACAAAUAAAAAGAAAAAAAAAAGGGGAGACAUCAUGAUGUUGUUUCUUACUUUGUGAUGAUGACAAAUGAUGAUGUUGGAGAAUUAUUUUUUCUUUGGCCCAUGUGGGAAGUCACGGGGUGACUUGAAGGAUUUAUUUAGCAGCAAUUGCUGCUUGUGUGGUUAAGAGAAGAAAACAGAGAGCAGAAGAAAAAGGAAAGAGAGCUGCCGAGAGCAAGAGAGUUGCAGAGAGCCCAAACAGAAAAAGAAGCUGCUGCUUCAUUUGAUUAGUAAUCAUCAACCAAAGUAGUUGUUGUUGUAAUAGCUUUGAGCUAUAUGUAUAGAGAAUAAAUUAUUCAUUAUAUUUCUUUCUCUAUUUGUUUCUUUGGUGUGUGAGAGUUAUUGGGUGUAUUGGGCUUUUGGGUUGUGAGAUUGUCAACACUUUGUAAACUCCCAUUUGGUUGAUAGUGGAUUAUUGGGUGAGCUCCUACUGCUCCGAGGACGUACUCCAGUUACACUGACUGUUGAGGAACCUCGUUAAAAUCUUGGUGUUCUUUUAUAUUUUGUUCUUGCAUUUUCAUUUGAUAAAAUUUCCUGUGGGUUAGCUUGAGUUGGUUCCAACGGGUUUGGUGCUAUCCUAGCACAACAUUUAUUAUUAUUGCUAUAAACACACGGAUUACAGCGAAAUUCAAAAACUAAAAAUAAGGAAAAAAGUAGUGAUGAAAACCAAUGCCACUUUCGCGGGAACACGAUUGAAUUCGCACAUGCAACAAGCCUUUUAAACCCAUAGGUGACCCAAAUGGGACGAGUGAAGUCUCGUGAGGGUUUCCAGAGACGUUACCCACAAACAUCAUGCAUACUGAUCAUCAACAUCUGCCUUGGGAGACUGAGUAGAUAUCCACCCCUCCAGCAUCAGGUUGUUUUUGGUUGAGGCGUAAUUCGAAUCUGUUUUCAAUGAACGGCCUGGUUAUGAGAUCACUUUGCAAGUGACGUAAUCGGCAGCGCGUGAUUAGGUUGUUGCUGUCAGGUGGUCCGACAGGCUCGACCUUGAACAAUGUGCAAGCCCAAUUGUCUUUGGUUUCAUUUCGGUCAGCAGCUGCGGCCAGGACCAACAGCCUGUUUUGGUCCACCCUUCUCAAGUAGUUACCAUUGUAGGAGCAUUUGAUAUGCACGUAAUUCUUGUCAGCGUAGUCCUCAUUGUUUGGCUUCUCGGUGGUGAACUUUAUGAACCUGCUGUUUUCAUUGUCCUCGGAAAACUGGACAAUCUCAUUAAGGUCGCUUUCUGCAUCAAGUUGAUAGCGCAAAUACUUGUUGUUGAUAUCUGCUUUCAGCAAAAAAGGGCUUGGUAGUACAGGUGGAGCCAUAUCGUAUAGUGUAGUUGGGAUUGGGAUGCUCUCUCUUUUUUAUUCUCUGUUGAUGAUCUAAUUUGCUUGCUGUGAAUGUGAUGCUUAGUUCAAACCUGCUAUCCUAUUUAUAAGAAAUUAAGCACAAGCUAACUCAAGUUAUGGUCUUUAAUUAAUAUUAAUUUCGACAAAUCAGUUUCCCAUCUCUUUCAUUGAUAUGAACAUGGCUGAUCUCAUUGGUGUGGCGCAAUAUUUGUUAAAUUAGCCGUUCGGGUUGAUUUCUUUGUAUAACUCAUCUGCCAAUUCUACAACUUGUAGACUUACUUCCCAUUACAAAAUAAAAAAUAAAAUAAAAUCCGAAACUAAUGUAAGAUAAAUAAAGACUUUUUAUGUCAUAAAAUAAGACUUUCUAACUUGUAUACACGACUAUAGUGACAAGAUCAAACACAUUGAUGGGUGCGCAUUUUCCAUCAACAUCUGUUCUGUGCGUUUAAACUGAGCGUGAAGUCUUUUUUAGCAAUUAAAAGUUUUGUAUGAUGUAAUUGUCUUGGUUUGAUAAGACCUACAUCUAGAUGAGUUGCUUCUGAAGACUAAUGUAAAACUUUAUGUUGAUAUUUCUUGAGGGUGAAACAUCGUUUGAGAAACGUUUUGGGCCUCAUUACAAUUUUUUCAUUUAUUUUUUAACUUUUGGUUUAAAUAUUCUACAAUAAAUACAUUUGUGGCUUUAAUAACUAGUAAAACCACUUUCAAAUAUCUUAGUAUCGGCUUCAGAACAAAGGGGUUUGGUAGUACAGGUGGAGCCAUGUUGUAUAGUGUAGCUGGGAUUGGGAUGAUCUCUCUCUUUAUUUAUUUAUUUAUUUUCUUUAAUU